rfam:Callipepla squamata strain Texas jcf7180005234658, whole genome shotgun sequence.
UGUUGCACUGGUAAUCCUGCUCAGUACGAGAGGAACCCAUGUUCAGACAUUUGGUGUAUGUGCUUGACUGAGGAGCCACUGGAGCAAGGCUACCAUCUGUGGGAUUAUGACUGAAUGCCUCUAAGUCAGGAAAGAAAUAAGGAGAUGUGGCA